rnacentral:snoRNA from 1 species
UGUGUGUCUGCUUGUUGAAGUUGUGCAUACACAGUAUAAAAAUAAAUCUUUUGCAACUCAGAACCCAUUGCUCAGUGUGAGUUUUGAUACAUACAAGAAGGGAUGAU